rnacentral:lncRNA from 1 species
AUGGCGAGGGUUCCCCCUGUCGGGGCCCUAUAGCGGUUGAGAGGAUCAAGGCAGCAGUCAGGGCCUGAUGGUUGUCCAGAGGAAAGCACAAAGCAUACCGAGCGCUGGUCUGACAGCACUUAGGGGUGUGACAGAAACUUUCUGUCAUGGAACCAGAGAUUGGAGACCGUGGGAACACAUCCGAAUCCACAUCUCCCUGACAAGGUGGUGCUGAUCUCCAGUGGUCCUCCCUGGUCGGGGAAUCACAUAGCUCUGACUCUGGAGCGUGUUGUUGUGUUUCUCUUUCAGUAUGAGCUUGUCUGUGGCCCUGGAGUUCCUCCCU